CCAUGGCAUUGCAUCAAAAGCUGUUGAAAUCUUAAAAAAAGAAAAUGUGCGUUAAUUGCGAGCAUUUUUGUUCACCUUUUUAACAGGCUCCUGAGUCUUAUAAAAACGUCACGGAUGUCGUUAACACUUGCCAUGAUGCGGGAAUUAGUCAGAAGGCCAUUAAACUGAGACCAAUCGCUGUUAUCAAAGGAUAACCGAAAACAAGCGAGUAAAUCCCAUUCGUCUCGAUAAGGACAUGAAAGAGUACCCCAACAUUACUGGCGUUUCUGUGCUAUGCUUCCUAUCUUUCCAUAUUUCUCCCAUGGGAUAAGCGGUACGUAACGUUGCGUGGCGAGAACUUAUUCAAGACAGUUAUUACUCUUCCAUAUCCUUGAUUUUGGUUGUCACACGACGCCUCCCGGAGAAAGAGUGGUAGACAGCGCUUGGUGACUUGCAGCCAAUCAAGGGAACUUUCACCCUCUCUUCACCUUUUAAAUUGCGAGGAUUUUCAAGAAAACGAUGGUUUUAAGGCAAAAGCAACAUGACUCAAGCGAAACAGAAACUGAACGAAAAUAAAUGGCUGCUAUUUCCUCCUUGGGCUUCCUUAUUUAUUAAUCUUAUUCAACCAGGGAAGAGUACACGAAUUAUUAUAUUUGGUGAAAGCAACCACAACAAGUAUUAUUAAAUUGGUAAGGUCAUAUAUGGUUACUUUGGAGACAUGGCAGAAUGAGAUCAAUUUAGAUUUAGUUGUUUUUACUCCAGUUACUGAAAAUGCAUUGGAAAGAAACCUUUUUUUCUUUCGGGAAUUGCAUCCGUAACUUGCACUACUUCUAUAAUCUGAAACGAACUUGAAGGUUUUUAAUA